UACGUAGGUGGCAAGCGUUUGUCCGGAUUAUUGGGGUUUAAAGGGUGGCGUAGGCGGCUUUGUAAGGUCAGUGGUGAAAUAUGGCAGCUCAACUGUCAAGGUGCCAUUGAUACUGCAGAGCUUGAGUACAGAUGAGGUAGGCGGAAUUGACGGUGUAGCGGUGAAAUGCUAGAUAUCGAUCAAGAACACCUAUAGCGAAGGCAGCUUACUAGGCUGUAACUGACGCUGAGGCACGAAAGGUGUGGGGAGUCAAACAGG
rnacentral:rRNA from 1 species